UUUAAACAAGCAUGUUCUCUAGUUGAUCAGCAACAAAACAACGUUAACUGAGAUGACGUUAAGUGAGGAGUUCCUGUAGCUAGUGUUUGAGUAGUUGUUAAGUAGUGUAGUUAGAAGUUAGAGUUCCAGUGAGGUGCGCAUUCCCCAGCCUCUGGGUUUUAAGCCCUGCUCUGACUGUAACAGGCCUAUGCCUGUUAGUGACCCCCAUAGCAGCUGCCUGAAGUGCUUGGGGGGAAUCGCAUAUGAGGGACAAAACUUUUGACCCAGGAAGAGCACAACAUCCAUUUGAGGGCCCUCCUCAUGGAAUCUGCUCUCUGUCUGGCUUCCAAGCUUUCCCGGCUAGACUCUACCCUUAGUACUUUGGCCUUGGUGUGUAGUGCACCCCUGGCACCAGGCUCUGCCUGGCACCACUCUCUGUUGCCGGUGCCCAAAAAGAAGUCCAAGAAAGGCCAUGGGGUAUCGGGCAAAGGACCCAGUUUAGGCCGCCAGCUCACAAUGGGGGCCACGCUCCUAGGAGCGGUAGGGAACCCAGGCUUGUGGUGGGGCUGAUGCCUUCCCAGGCUCUUCCAGUGCAGAGGCCUCUACCGGCGCCGUGUGGGUCACCGGAAGCGGCAAAGGCUCACUAUGAGGGCAAGCCAGCCAUCUAUACCCUCCCAGAGGGCAAGUGAGCGCUGCCUAUCCCCAGAGCUGAGACAAUGCUCUCUGUCUCCAUGCUGCAGAUCUCCGGCUUCACAACCCAGGUCCUCUGCAGGUCGCCCUAGACCACUGGAACUGUGAUCGCGGUCUCCGCCCUCUUUAAGUGGAUCGCCUUGAGGGAGGUUCUGGUCACUGUAUCGCUGGCACCGUUUGCAUCCUGCCAGUUGUCGUCUUGGCACAGAUCCCCAUCCCCUGCACCGUGGGAAUGUUCAGUCCUGGUACUGGUCCCACCACCUCUGGUACAGGACCUCGUAUUCAAAAUGCUGGUCUCUAGCGGCGAUGAUUAGUCACCGGAUGUAGGCAUAGACAGCCCCACCGUGGUCACAGGAAGAGGAUUGCUCCGGCAUGGAGAGGGAAUUCAGUCCCUUGCUGAGGCAUCACCAGCAUGCUUAGGCACCCAAGGCACCUUAGGCUGACCUCUGUGUUGUCAGCUUCGUAACACGGCCAUUGGCCAGCACAGUGGCUUUACUGGAGUACAUGGGGCACGCCAUGUAUGCCAGUGCCCCCUGUGAUGCCAGUGCCCCCUCCGAAGCCUCAGCGCAACAGCUGAUGUCACCGGUGGUACCAGGCUCGAUGCACAAAGUGCACUCAAAGGUCAGGGUAGAGGAGUGAGUGCCCACCCCAAAACCCCUUUCCCCCACAGAGCAUGAUGCCCUAGGGACUCCCCCGGUGGUUCAGUCAUCAUCAUCAUCAUCAUCCCUGGACAAGGUGGUGACAGGGGCCUUGAGUGCUAGCCUGCCAGAGGACUUUAAAGAGCACCAGUUCCUGCUUCGACGGGUGGCCAAGAACUUGGGCCUGGAGAUAAAGGAGAUGGCCUGUGUUCAGUGUGCUCUGGGCUUCUACCCCUGCUGAUGUUACACUACCAGUGGAUGAUGGAGUCUUAAAAAUAGCCAAAGCUCUCUGGCAAACCCCAUCAUCCAUCCCUCCCACCUCUAAGAGGGCUGAGAGAAAAUACUUCAUCCCAGCCAAGGGGUUUGAGUACUUGUAUAGCCACCCGCCUCCAUGCUUGCUGGUCAUCUCUGCGGUCAAUGAAAACGACAAACAGGGACACACCAGUUAGACCCCCCAAAAUGAACAGGCAAAGAGGCUGGAAGAUUUAUUCAGCAGCCAGCCUUCAGUUCCGGGUGGCAAACCACCAGGCUCUGUUGGGCAGAUACAGCUUCAACUUAUGGGACUCCCUCUGUAAGUUCAAGAAGUCCUUGCCCAGGACUUGGUCCAGGAGUUUGGUAUCCUGGUGGAGGAGGGCACUGCAGCAGUGAGGUGCUCCCUCCAAAUGGCAUGGGAUGUGGCCGACUUGGCGGUGAGGGUGGUUGCAUGGGCGGUAGUCAUGAGGCGCAGCUCCUGGCGUCAGACCACUGACCUGUUUCAGGAAAUGCAGGACUCAGUUCAAGAUUUCCUGUUUGAUGGGAAUGGUCUCUUUGUGGGGCAGACUGAUGCAAGGCUGCAUAGCCUAAAGGACACUUUGGGCCACCCUUUGCUCACUGGGUCUGCGUAUGCCGCAGUUGGCAAGGAAACAGUUCUGGCCGCCACUGCCAAGGCCUUGGCAGCCUUGACAGGUCUGCAAGGACAAGGGAUAGAGACAUGAGCUUUAGUCAUCGCUGCCCUUCCUCCUCCCAGUCACCCAUGCAACCCAGUCCGGCAAACCAUCCCGGGGGCCAUAAGCACUCAUUUUGAAGGUGCGCUCAAGAGCGACGCUCCAGUCAACUCUCCGGAUCCACCUCAUUGUUUCCUCAGCUGUCUUCGUCCCUACUGUUCUGCCUAGUCACAGGUCACCUUGGACCGCUGGGUGCUAGAGAUAGUAUCUCAGGGCUACAUCCUGCAGUUCUCCUCCCGCCCCCCUCAUCCCCUCCCCCGAUCACCCCUUUCCCAUCCCUCUUCGGAGACUCUUCUCGUGGGCAAUUUCUUGUUCAGGAAGUAGAGAACCUCCUGCACCUGGGGGCAGUGGAGGAGGUCCCUUGGGACAUGAAAGGAAAAGGGUUCUAAUCCCACUACUUUCUAAUCCCAAAAGCAAAAGGGGGCCUCAAACCCAUUCUGGACCUGCGAUGUCUCAAGUCUCUCAAGAAGUUGAAGUUUCACUUGGUCUCCCUGGCUUCCAUCAUCCCCUCCCUGGAUCCAGGAGACUGGUACAUCCCCCUCGACUUGAAGGACACUUAUUUCCAUAUUCCACGGUCACAGACGUUUCCUCCGUUUCAUAGUGGGUGGACACCAUUUUCAAUUCACGGUGCUGCCCUUUGGCCUCUCGUUGGCCCCAAAGGUAUUCACAAAAUGUAUGGUGUCAGUGGCCCCUUACCUGAGAUGUAGGUCUUCCCAUAUCUUGAUGAUUGGCUCAGCAAGGUCAGGUCUCUGGAACAAGUGCAGAGAAUCCUUGAUCUGUGCAUUCCACUUGCUGCAUCCUGGGCCUGUUGAUAAACGAGAAAAAAAUCCACCUUAAGGCUGGUCCAACUAAUGUAGUUCAUUGGAGUGGUUCUCCACUCCAUACAAGCUUGAGCCUUCCUUCUGGAGGUACGUUUUCAGGCCAUGUUGGACCUGAUCUCCCAUGUGAAGAAUCAUCCACUCACCACUGCUCACACCUGCCUGCAGUUGUUAGGCCAUAUGGCUGGGAGAAGGAAUGUGUUAGCAGAUCACCUGAGCAGGACCUUUUCGUCUCGCCAUGAGUGGUCGCUUCAUCCAAAGGCAGUCAGUAUGAUCUUUCAAAGGAGGGGGACCCCUGGUGGACUGGUUUGCGUCCCAUCAGAACAGGAAAUGCCACGUGUUCUGUUUGAUCUCGGGGAUGGACAGAGGCUCCCUGUCAGACGCCUUUCUGCUCCCAUGGUCAGGUCUGAUGUAUGCCUUCCCACCAGUGCCAUUGAUCUUCACGCGGACUCUGUGGAUCAAACAGGACUGGGCAAAGAUUAUCCUAAUAGCUCUUGCAUGGCCUCGACAGUACUGGUUCAGCAUGCUGCUGGAUCUCUUGGCAGCCUCCCCGCUGCAGCUACCUCUCUGGCCAGACCUGCUGUCCCAGAACCACGGCAGUCUUCUUCACCCAAACCUGGCAGUUGCACUUGACAGCAUGGCUACUGUAUGGCUGAAUGUGGAAGAACUGGAAUGCUCGGCCCGGGUUCAACAGGUCUUUUUGGAUAGCAGAAAACCCUCUACCAGAGCAGCUUACCUGCCCAAGUGGAAAAGGUUCAUGGUGCUGGACCUCGCAACUAUGUAUCCGGGCUGAGCGGGCCUUGCUGCAGGCGAUCCUGGAUUAUCUUCUGCACCUCAGACUCUAAGGAUUGUCCCUGUCAUCGAUCAGGGUCCGCCUGGCUGCUCUUUUGGCCUUCCACCCUCCGUUCCCAGGCAGGUCGGUCUUCGCUCAGACAUGACAUCCCUGUUUUUGAAAGGUCUGGAGCGUCUCUACCCUCACGUCCAGGAUCCUGUCCCUCCCUGGGACUUGAAUCUCAUGCUGUUGCAGCUCAUUAGGGCCUCCCUUCGAGCUUCUGGCUUCCUGCUCUCCUUCUCUCCUGGAACGUUUCGUUCCUGGUUGCCAAAACAUCUGCCCGCAGGGUGUCUGAGAUCAGGUCAUUGACUUCAGAACUGCCCUAUAAAGUAUUCUACAAGGUUAAGGUCCAGCUGUGGCUGCACCCAGCUUUCCCGCCCACGGUAGCUUCCCAGUUUCAUACCGACCAUGACAUAUACUUACCUAUCUUCUUCCCGAAGCCUCAUAAAUCAUAAGAGGAAUGCAGGUUGCAUGCCCUGGACGUCAGGAAGGCUUUGGCCUUCUACAUCGAUAGGACAAAGCCGUUUCGCAAGUCAGUGUAGCUGUUCAUUGUAGUGGCAGAUGGGAUGAAAGGUUGCCUAGUGUCUGAGGAGAAAGUUUCAUCCUGGAGCACAGCCUGUAUCCACCACUGCUAUGAGCUUGCGGAAGUGUUUCCGCCGGCAAUCCUGAUGGCACACUCUACUAGCACACAAGCAUGAUCAGCGGCCUUCCUGGCACAAUCCAAGAGCAGCUGCCUGGUCAUCUGUCCAUACGUUCACAUCUCAUUAUGCACUUACUCGGCAAGCUUGAGAUGACGCUGGCUUUGGCAGAGCAGUACUACAAGCCACACGACCGUGAACUCCGAGCUCACCUCUGAAUACUGCUUGAGUCACCAAAAUGAAAUUGACAUGAGCAAGCACUCAAAGAAAAAAAAAAUUACCUACCUUUUGUAACUGUUGUUCUUCAAGAUGUAUUGCUCAUGUCUAUUCAAUUACCUGCCCUCCUGCCCCUCUAUUGGAGUUGUUGGCAAGAAGGAACUGAGAGGGCAUAGAGUCGACGGCGCCUAACAUACUGACGCAUAAGCGCAGCACUCAAGAGAGUGUCAUAGCCAACCCUACGGAUACUGCUAAGGCAAAAAUCUCUGACUAUACUCAUGAGUGUGCGCACACCUAGAAUGGAAUGGACAUGAGUAACACAUCUCAAAGAACAACAGUUAUGAAAGAUAGGUAACCGUUUUUUCCCUUGAGCAGUCAGUCCAAUUUUUCCCUUUUGUAUGGGCUUUAGUCACAGCAAUAAGUGAGAGACAGACACUUCUCUGGUUUUUAAAAAGUGAUAUUUAAAACCCAAAAUGUUGGCAUAGAGGAUUCAAGUGUAGUAGUGUAGUAUCUGAAAAUAUUUUUUACUCAUUGUUUAUAAUUGACUAGAUUUGUAGUCCAUAAUAUGAGAAAAGGUAAAGAAACUAUCUCUGGCCUAGAUCCCCCUCACUC